rnacentral:rRNA from 1 species
AAACCAGUACCUCAAGUGGUCAGGAUGAUUAUUGGGCCUAAAGCAUCCGUAGCCGGCUCUGUAAGUUUUCGGUUAAAUCUGUACGCUCAACGUACAGGCUGCUGGGAAUACUGCAGAGCUAGGGAGUGGGAGAGGUAGACGGUACUCGGGAGGAAGUGGUAAAAUGCUUUGAUCUCUCGAUGACCACCUGUGGCGAAGGCGGUCUACCAGAACACGUCCGACGGUGAGGGAUGAAAGCUGGGGGAGCAAACCGGAUUAGAAACCCCGGUAGUCC